UACGUAGGGGGGCAAGCGUUGUCCGGAAUCAUUGGGCGUAAAGAGCUCGUAGGCGGUCUGUCGCGUCUGCUGUGAAAACUCAGGGCUUAACCCUGAGCUUGCAGUGGGUACGGGCAGACUAGAGUGCGGUAGGGGAGACUGGAAUUCCUGGUGUAGCGGUGAAAUGCGCAGAUAUCAGGAGGAACACCGGUGGCGAAGGCGGGUCUCUGGGCCGAUACUGACGCUGGAGGGAAGCGAAAGCGUGGGGAGCAAACAGG
rnacentral:rRNA from 1 species